AUUGAACGCUGGCGGCAGGCCUAACACAUGCAAGUCGAGCGGAUGAAGGGAGCUUGCUCCUGGAUUCAGCGGCGGACGGGUGAGUAAUGCCUAGGAAUCUGCCUGGUAGUGGGGGAUAACGUCCGGCAACGGGCGAUAAUACCGAAUACGUCCUGAGGGAGAAAGUGGGGGAUCUUCGGACCUCACGCUAUCCGAUGACACUAGGUCGGAUUAGCUAGUUGGUGGGGUAAAGGCCUACCAAGGCGACGAUCCGUAACUGGUCUGAGAGGAUGAUCAGUCACACUGGAACUGAGACACGGUCCAGACUCCUACGGGAGGCAGCAGUGGGGAAUAUUGGACAAUGGGCGAAAGCCUGAUCCAGCCAUGCCGCGUGUGUGAAGAAGGUCUUCGGAUUGUAAAGCACGUUAAGUUGGGAGGAAGGGCAGUAAGUUAAUACCUUGCUGUUUUGACGUUACCAACAGAAUAAGCACCGGCUAACUUCGUG
rnacentral:rRNA from 1 species